GUCAGGCUGGAAGGGUAUAUUGAGUGGGAUCCCAUAAGGAUCAGUUCUGGGUCUAGUUCUGGUCAAUAACUUCAUCAAUGAUUAGAUAAUGGCAUAGAGAGUCAACUUAUAAAGUUUGUGGAUAAUACCAAGCUGAGAGAGGUUGCAAUCUGCUUUGGGGCAGGGCUUCUC